UACGUAGGGUGCGAGCGUUAAUCGGAAUUACUGGGCGUAAAGCGUGCGCAGGCGGUUCGCCAAGUCAGGUGUGAAAUCCCCGGGCUUAACCUGGGAAUUGCGCUUGAAACUAGCGGGCUUGAGUGUGGCAGAGGGGGGUGGAAUUCCACGUGUAGCAGUGAAAUGCGUAGAGAUGUGGAGGAACACCGAUGGCGAAGGCAGCCCCCCUGGGUCAACACUGACGCUCAUGCACGAAAGCGUGGGGAGCAAACAGG
rnacentral:rRNA from 1 species